AUCCUUUUGUAGUUCAUGAGCAUGAUGAUUCGGUGUUCGCGUGCAUGUGUGAGACGUCACACCCUUGCACAUCUCGCCUGACC
ensembl:snoRNA